UGGGGAAUAUUGCACAAUGGGCGAAAGCCUGAUGCAGCAACGCCGCGUGAGUGAUGAAGGCCUUCGGGUUGUAAAGCUCUGUCUUCUGGGACGACAAUGACGGUACCAGAGGAGGAAGCCACGGCUAACUACGUGCCAGCAGCCGCGGUAAUACGUAGGUGGCAAGCGUUGUCCGGAUUUACUGGGCGUAAAGGAUGCGUAGGCGGAUACUUAAGUCAGAUGUGAAAAUCCCGGGCUUAACUUGGGAACUGCAUUUGAAACUGGGUAUCUAGAGUGCGGGAGAGGAAAGUGGAAUUCCUAGUGUAGCGGUGAAAUGCGUAGAGAUUAGGAAGAACACCAGUGGCGAAGGCGACUUUCUGGACCGUAACUGACGCUGAGGCAUGAAAGCGUGGGGAGCAAACA
rnacentral:rRNA from 1 species